GUUUGGGCUGUAGCCUGAGCCCAUAAGUUUACACUGCAUUGAAAUAGCCCUGCGAGCCUGAGUCAGCUGGCACAGGUCAGCCACAGGUGUCCAGUUGCUGUGUAGACAUACCCUUUGGGUUCAGCCAUUUUAAUUAAUAAAUUUAGUCUUUUAUCCAUCACCCUGUUUCUAGAUAGGUGAAGUGUAUAUGCUUGUGUACAAGAGUUCAGUGACUGAACCUUUAUUAUUAAGGUUAAGAUUCUGUAAUGGGGAUUUUUAGUAAAAGUCAGGGACAGUUAGCGGGUGAUAAACAAAAAUUCACAGAAGCUCAUGACCUCUCCCUAAUGCGGGGGGGAGGAGGGGACUUACAGUUGGAGCGCUGUUGGGCGCUGAGCUUCUGCAGCUGCACCAGCCCCACCGCUGCUCCUGUGGCAGGGGCUGACCCAACCCUGUCCACCGCUUCACCUGGGGCUGACUGCUGGCCAUUGCUAUGGCGGCCCCUGCUCCGGUGGCUCCAGGGCUGGCUGUCAGCCGUUGCUAUUGCAGCCCUUGCUCCAGUGGCCCAGGGCUGACUGCUGGCUGCUGCUCUGGUGGCUUUGAGGGCUGCUGCCCUCGUGGCCCUGGGGCUGACCUCUGGUGGCCCUGGGGCUGACAGCUGCUCCAGCCCUGCCCCUUCGGAAGAAGUCGCAGAGGUCCCAGAAUCUGUGACCUCUAUGACAGAAUUAUACCCUUAUUUAUUAUACAAAGUAGCGGGUUAUCAUAUCCCAUUUUAAAAGUCUGAUCUUUUUAUUAAAACAUUGUUUUAAAUAUAUUUUGCAUUCAGGUGACACAAGAACCUAUUUAAGUAAAAUGAUAAAACUCUUGACUGGAGAAAAUCGCAGGGAGACUGCCUGUUGUGUAGGGCUCAUGGAUCCUGAGAAUCGUAGCAAAUCUUGUCUCUUUGAUUAUUUGUUUAAAGGAGACUUGCUCAGCUUCUGAACAGUUAUUUCAGAAGAAAUUAAAUCAUUGUUGAUCUUCCAUUAAAUUGUUAUACUUCCCAACUCUCCUUCUCCAGACCAGUAAUAACACCCAAAACUCAAAAAGCAUCUGCUGCAAGUAGAGUUUUUGUUUUGUAUGUCCUCUCUAUAUUUCCAGUUACUUUGCUUUAACUGUGCUAGGGCUUAUUUAUUUUUGUCCUCUCUAAUGGAUGGUCCCUGUUAUCGGUAUAUCAAAACUAACUUGCUGGCUAUACGAUUUAUGAUCUUUAUAUAGUUUAAUCUUCUUACUUGGUGACAAUCCCUUGGUGCUAGUCCUUUCUAUAUGUACCUUCACCUUGAUUAAUGACCAUGAAGAACUUCACAAAUUUACCAAAUCCCAUGAAAUUGGGAUACAGGGAACACAUUCUUAAUGAAUUAGUGCUCUUUUAGUUGCUGUAAUCACUUAAUUUAGUUUAACUCACUUUGUAAUAAUACUGAAUACUCCUGAACUUAAUCUGUAUUGAUACUUCCUUUUUUCAGUUUCUCAGCACAUCACUUUGUCUUCCCUGUUGAUCACAGGUUGGAAAAUUUGUUUUUAUGUGCAUAGCCGGAGUAUUUCAUAGCUGUUUUACGAACUUAAUAUUUUGGUUGUUUGACUGAUAUAUGUCUGGCCAUUUAUGUAUUGAAAAUAUAAACCUACAAUCUGCGGAGGUAACUUGAAUUUUAUGUAAAAUAUUCAGUUGUGGACCAUGUCUCCAGCUUUUUGUAUGCUACAGUGGUCUUAUCCCCCCCUCCCCAUUGUCUGUUAGUGAGGUCAUUUUCAGUCCUCUGAGAAAUUUUAUUCCCAGCCAGAUGCAGCCCAUAUAUUAAAAGUAGCACCUGUGACUAAUAUCACAGCAGCUUACCAUAAAUUUACAUGGUAACUAGGAUUAUGUCUGUCAAGACUGUUAAAAAUGUCUAGAUUUAAUUUGAUUUCCAGUAUUGAAGGAGCUCUCUAACAUUUUGCUUCAUAACUAUAUUUUAAAAGUUAAAAUCACUCCAUUGUUAAGUUUUAUAGCACUCCCAUUGCCCAUUAAGUUGAUUUGUUAAAUGGAGGUCAGAGUAAAGCAACUUGGCUACAUUAGGAUCGGAAACCAACCCAUUUGUGACAAAUUUAGUCCUCGUGUGUGAAUCUUCUCAAAGCCUCAGCCCUGAUUGGUUUCAGAUGUAGCUUAUGUCAAUUGUGUUUAACCUCAAAGAAUGAGCAACGUUAGUCCAUUAUUGUCAGUUUUGCUUAUCAAAAGACAAACCAAUUUUCAUUUAUCUGGUGGGUUAACUAUUUUUAAUGUGACUGUUGACUACUUGCCCCUCUGUUAGACUUUUGCAUUAGAUUGCCUCUUGGAUGAAAAGAAUUGGUUUUUCAUAUAGUGUUUCCUAGACUGUUUCAUUUCCCAUUAUUCUUUGAGUCCUCUCCCAUAUGCUAUGAUUUGUACACCUGCAAAAUUAUGAAAGUAUUUCUUUUGGUAGGUAUGUUGUUUGCUAAUGUCCUUGCAUUUAUGAAUACAAUAACUGAUUUGCUAUAAAUCAAAAUUAUUUGACUGGGUUUACAGAGUAGAGAAAAUCUUUGUGUUUGAAAAUAAGGUUUGAAUAUUGAAUUUUUGGCCUAUCUGCCUGUUUGUUGUUUUUCCUUAUUAGAAACUGACAGUAAAAUUUUCAGGCCUCAUGAAGAUUAACUCAGGCCAAAAUUGUGAGAGUGAGCUGGCUCAGCUGGGUCAAAACGUAGUUUAGUAAAAAUAUAUUUUUAUACAGUCACACCUGCCUUAUGGUUAUACUUGUGAAUGGCUUAGUAAAUAAUCCUCUUGCCUUUGAGUCAGAAGGUUAUAGGGUCAAGUUCCAGCUGUGGGACUGGACACAUUCCACCUACCCAUAUCCUAGUGUGGCACUGGGGUCUGAAAAGCUGGGGUGCUUGACUUUUGGAUGAAAAAUAAAUGGAGAGUCUCUGGAGAUCAUUCAUCUGAAAAUUUGAUUCUCCUGCCCUGGCUUUAAAAAGACAAAGAGACCACAAUGGUGUACUAGUCAAUGCAGCCUCUUUCCAAUAAUACUACCAGUUAACUAGCAGAAGUAGUCUUCUUAUUGAUGAGAAAUGCUGCCUAAUUAUACAGAGUCUGGUGUGAUAUCAGUGGUCAGUCAGAAGCUACCAGAUACAAAUUAACUCCUUUUUGCUGGGAGUUGGGAAAUAUUUUGUAUUUAUUUAGUUACUUAUUUGUCAUGGCCACCGGGCAAAACACAGAGUGAAGGAUGUCUCCUGCCUCAGUGUUCAGUCUAAAUUUUUUUUAAUUACCAACAUUUUUUCCUACUUGUAAAUAAUUGAAUCAUUGUAUUACAUUGGCAACUUUUGUCUUUACUUUCACCUCCCCACACACACCCAAAUUUAGUCGUACUGUACCUGUUGGAGCUAUUUCCUUAUCGCAAGGUCUGUGCCCACUUUCAAUGGGCACCAGCAAUGCCAGCCUCAACCAGCCGCUUCUCUGAGAAAUACUUCAAGUUUUCUGUUGUGCUGCCCUAUGUGAGUGGAGAAAGCUUAGUAAGAAUCUACCAAGCCACCUCUUUAUCCUCCACGUCCCUCUUCAAAACUCACCUCUGCUGUAAAGCAUAUAGAAAACUGCAGACGAAGCAGGUGGCGAGCUGUGAUCACGGCUAGUCAAUGGCUAAGAACUAUGCACAACCCACUUAACUCCCUACCCUCCCAUUACGUCUUGUCUUUUAGAUUACAAGCUCUUUGGGGCAUAGACGAUUUGUACAAUGGAGCCCAACCUGUUUGUGGCUGUAGGCACUAAUGCAAUAUUAUUAUUAAUGCCACAGUAUUAAAAUUAACAAUGCUAUCAUAUUAAUUGAUAUUUAAAUGAAUCAUGAUGACAUUAAAAAUUCAGAACAUACCUUGGUGUUUCGCUUUCUUGAGGUAGGAAGAGGUUUUUCUGUUUCUGUUUCUGAGGUAAACAUAAUUUAACAUUUUGUUUUGUAAAUGCACAGUAUCCAUCAGGAGCAGCAGGCCUGACAGCCACAGCUAACAGGUGAUAUGUAGACGUUCAAGACUCUUAUUCUCCAGGUGCUCUAGAAACAGAAGUUGAAAUCAGUUUGUUAUUAGUUAAAACUUAACUGUGACUUAGAAGAUCAAGGAAAUAUGAGUUCUAAGCUCUUUCCUUCCCUCCAUUCUAUG